AGUGAACGCUGGCGGUAGGCCUAACACAUGCAAGUCGAACGGCAGCACAGGAGAGCUUGCUCUCUGGGUGGCGAGUGGCGGACGGGUGAGGAAUACAUCGGAAUCUACUCUGUCGUGGGGGAUAACGUAGGGAAACUUACGCCAAUACCGCAUACGACCUACGGGUGAAAGCAGGGGACCUUCGGGCCUUGCGCGAUUGAAUGAGCCGAUGUCGGAUUAGCUAGUUGGCGGGGUAAAGGCCCACCAAGGCGACGAUCCGUAGCUGGUCUGAGAGGAUGAUCAGCCACACUGGAACUGAGACACGGUCCAGACUCCUACGGGAGGCAGCAGUGGGGAAUAUUGGACAAUGGGCGCAAGCCUGAUCCAGCCAUACCGCGUGGGUGAAGAAGGCCUUCGGGUUGUAAAGCCCUUUUGUUGGGAAAGAAAUCCAGCUGGCUAAUACCCCGUUGGGAUGACGGUACCCAAAGAAUAAGCACCGGCUAACUUCGUGCCAGCCGCCGCAGUAA
rnacentral:rRNA from 1 species